rnacentral:lncRNA from 1 species
ACGGCAGGGCAAAACAUGCCAGUGUUUGCUUGCUUAUUCCACAUAAAAGACCAACUCGCUGACCCGCAUUCAUACUCAAGCAAAGGCAAACAUUCCCUUAUUGUGCAGGCUCCUCUCUUUCUCCCUCCCACUUCUCCCUCCUCCCUCCUCCCCCUCCCUCUCUGGGCCCAGGAAGGGCACACACACACUCACCCCAAAAAAGCCUGGAGGUAUUCAGACCACACACAGAGCAGAACUGUCUCUCUCUCUCCUUUAUUUCUCUCUAUUUCUCUCUUUCUUUUUUCACUUUCUGUCCCCCUCUCUCUCUCUCUCUCUCUCUCUUUUCUCUUUCUCUAUCUCUCUCUCUUUUCUCUUUCACUCUCUCUCUAUUUCUCUCUUUUUCUCUCUAUUUCUCUCUCUCUUUCUAUCUCUUUCUCUUUCUCUCUCUCUUUUUCCUCUGACUCUAUUUCUCGCCCUCUCUCUCAAUUAGUUUCUCUCUAUAUAUAUAUUUCUCUCCCUCUCCCUCUUUUUUUUCCUCUCUCUAUUUCUCUCUCUGUUCAGUCUCCCUCUCUCUCCCUCUUUUUUCAUCUCUCUCUCUAUUCUCUCUAUCUCUAUCUUUUCUCCCCCCUCUCUCUCUCAUCGCUCUCUCAUCUCUUUGUCUCUCCCUCUCUAUUUCUCUCUUUUUCUCCCCCUAUUUCUCUCUCUCUCUUUCUAUUUCUCUCUUUUUCUCCCCCUAUUUCUCUAUUUCCCUCUCUCUUUUCUCUCGCUCUCUAUUUCUCUCUUUUUCUCCCCCUAUUUCUCUCUCUCUCUCUUUCUAUUUCUCUCUUUUUCUCCCCCUAUUUCUCUAUUUCCCUCUCUCUUUUCUCUCGCUCUCUAUUUCUCUCUUUUCUCCCCCUAUUUCUCUCUCUCUCUAUUUCUCUCUCUCCCUCUAUCUCUUUCCCCUUUCUCUCUCACUCUCUAUUUCUCACUUUUCUCCCUCCCUCUCUCUCUGUUUUUCUCACUCUCGCUAUUUCUCUCUCUCUCUCCCACCCCUCUCUCUCUCAAUUUUCUCGCCAAGUCCAGCUCUCAAGUCCUGAACGGAGCCGAGGAGAGGCGAGGCGCUGUUUUGUGCUCUCAAUCUCUGCCUAACAGUGUGUCUCCUCUCUCUCUC